rnacentral:lncRNA from 1 species
CAAUUUUUUUUCAUAGCAACUGCAAGUUAAAAAUUAGAGACCUAAACUCCAAACGUACCCUAAGGAACUGUUAAAAAAAUAAAUUAAAACUAGAAACAAAAGGCCAAAUUCCUCAAUUUCAAACUCCAAUCCCUAAUUCCGUUAAACAAAAACCGUGAAGCAAAUGAGAGAGAAACAACGACACACCACACACACACACUCCACUAGUCACAGCCUCACGCCUAACAAUCGCCGAUAAUUACAGCCAUCACCAAUUCAUCGUCCGGUCACCCACCCAAUAAUUGCAUGCAGCACACGCAGCCACGCGAAUUUUGUUCUCGAUCCAGCACGCAAUCACCGAUUCGGCUCCAUUCUAAGGUUGUCGUCCAGCCAGUCACAGCUCGUCGUCUCAACCGUUGCUGUCGUCUUAGCUCAUCACCAGCCGUUGCUGACUUCUUGUUGCACCAGUGAGUUACGUCCAUUGAUGACUUUUUUUAUUGUUCUUUAUUUUUUUCCUUAAUCCUUAUUUUUUCCUUAAUUAUUUUUUUUUGUGAGUUGGGAUUACUAGAUUAGGAUUUAAUACUUUAAUUUUUGCAGCAACUUUUUAAUUUUUUUGUGAGAUGCUAGCUGUUAAUUUUCGCCUCAUCUGUUGCCUGUUGACUGUUAAUUUUUAUUGUUAGUGUAUUUGGGGAAAAUUCCAAUGACGAUUGCUUAAUUUUGUAUGGAUUUAUUAACAAAUAAAUUAAGUUUCUGUUUCUGUUUUCAUUUUUGGCCAACCUCGAACUUUUUAUUGAACAAUUCAUGUCAUUGUUAUAUUGUUAUUAGCUUAGGGAAUGGGAAUAUGGGAUUGAUUUACUUUUUAUUUAAUUUUGUUGGUGUUCUAAUGAAUGAAAAUUACUAUUUAUGUUAACAUUUUUUUUCUACAGGUGCAGUUCCUAAAGAUGACGAGGAUUUGAAGGAUGAGGAAAAAGAUGCCCUCAAAUAUUAGAUUAGUAUGUUUUCGAUAUUAGUAUUAUUGAGUAAUGAUACAUCCACAAACUCUUGUACAAAUUUAUUUUGUACAAACUGACGUGGCAUUAAUUGAUUGGUUGAAUGAAAAUAUAAAUUAAUAAAAACAAAUCAUGUGGGCCAAGUGAUAUUUAAUUCAACCAAUCUUAUCAUGUCACAUCAGUUUGUACAAAAUAAGUUUGUACAAGAGUUUGUGGCUGUAUUAUUACUCUUUAUUAUUUAUUAUGUUAUCUUGUUAUUAUUUUGUGUGGGAAACUAUUAUUGUAUAAUGUAAUAGGUUAUUAUUAUGUUAUGUAUUGGAUAAUUAUUUUUAAUUAAAAAAUUAUUUUAAAAUUAUUAAAAGUCUAGGUUCGGCUCAGGUCUAGCCCAAGCUCGUUGAGGCUGAGGCUGAGGCUUAGCCCAACCCGUCCAAACUUAGAUGCGCUUUUGGAGAGCUUGGGCUUUUAAUAACAAUAUGGGUUUGUGCUUAAAAAAGUUCGGCCUAAGUCGGUAUUUUGUAAAUCAUAUUUGAGAUUGAAUAACUUUAAUAGUGCGUUUAUUUCAUGAGAAUGAGAAUGAGAAUUAAGUAGAAUGAGAAUGAACUGGAAUGAAAAUGAAGAAUGUGAAUGAAAUUUUAAUAUUUACAUGGCAAAAAUAAAUGGGAAUGGAAAUAUGUCGGAAUGCUAUUGAUGUGUUUACUUUGUAAAAUAAAUAGAAAUAAGGAAUGAGAAUGAGAAUUAAUUUAUCAAAAUACUCAUAAUAUUAAUAAUUA